UACGGGGGGUGUAAGCGUUGUUCGGAAUUACUGGGCGUAAAGGGCUCGUAGGCGGCCAACUAAGUCAGACGUGAAAUCCCUCAGCUUAACUGGGGAACUGCGUCUGAUACUGGAUGGCUUGGAUCCGGGAGAGGGAUGCGGAAUUCCAGGUGUAGCGGUGAAAUGCGCAGAUAUCAGGAGGAACACCGGUGGCGAAGGCGGGUCUCUGGGCCGAUACUGACGCUGAGGAGCGAAAGCGUGGGGAGCAAACAGG
rnacentral:rRNA from 1 species